CUCGAUUGCGUGUUGUAGGAGUCCUUGCACUGUGUGUGUAUGUCUGCAAGGCCCGCGUUCCAUGAUUUGUAAUUAGAUCAAGGAUUGUGCGCUUCCCUUUACGGUUUAGAGCAUCGUAGCUGCCGCAGAAAUUUGUUUUUUUAUGAGUGUGCCUUUCGACUGUAAUAAAGCUGCACACCACCCGAACAUCUUGCUCGUGAUUGCUUGAUUGCAGGCUCGCCUGGCCCACGGUUUAAUAUCCUAAGCAAUGACGGGACUAUUCGAUACAUUUCCGUGUUAGUUACAAUUGCAGGAGCGGGCAGUGUUCGUGCGUGGAAUGAAAUUUGACGAAACAAAGUUCGUCCUUGUAGAUCUGUUCUUUGCAGGCAAAUUGCUGCUUCAUAUCCAGUACUGCCACUAGUCUAUGCAGCAGCCGCACCAGAAAGGGACAUCAGAAAGAGUCGGCAAAAAUGUUACAUGUACUGAAAGCCUGGACACCUAACGAAGGGUUGCACUCCACAGGAUGUAGCGAUUCCAACAAACAUCUCUAAAUGGAUCUGCAACAACAAUAAUCAUUUAGACAUUGUUCUACUGCCAAGGAUUAUCCCUUUGAAUUCUUUCCACACGCUGCUCUUGAUCUUCAAUGUGUCAAGCCUCUCUUGAUAUCUGUGAAUGGAUAAGCUCAAGUAUUCAUAAAAUGCUGUCUCUAGCUUCUGAGGUCUUGCAAUCAAAUUAAAAAGUUUAAUUUUGCUUUAGUUGUUGUAAAUACGUUAUUUGGUUAGAAGUUUACAUGUAUGCAAUAUUUCUAACUGAUAUUAUGAAUAAUUAAAAAAAACA